rnacentral:rRNA from 1 species
UGGGGAAUAUUGCACAAUGGGCGCAAGCCUGAUGCAGCCAUGCCGCGUGUGUGAAGAAGGCCUUCGGGUUGUAAAGCACUUUCAGCGAGGAGGAAGGUGGUGAGCUUAAUACGCUCAUCAAUUGACGUUACUCGCAGAAGAAGCACCGGCUAACUCCGUGCCAGCAGCCGCGGUAAUACGGAGGGUGCAAGCGUUAAUCGGAAUUACUGGGCGUAAAGCGCACGCAGGCGGUUUGUUAAGUCAGAUGUGAAAUCCCCGGGCUCAACCUGGGAACUGCAUUUGAAACUGGCAAGCUAGAGUCUCGUAGAGGGGGGUAGAAUUCCAGGUGUAGCGGUGAAAUGCGUAGAGAUCUGGAGGAAUACCGGUGGCGAAGGCGGCCCCCUGGACGAAGACUGACGCUCAGGUGCGAAAGCGUGGGGCAGCAAACAGGAUUAGAUACCCUGGUAGUCCAGCGCUGUAAACGAUGUCGAUUUGGAGGUUGUGCCCUUGAGGCGUGGCUUCCGGAGCUAACGCGUUAAAUCGACCGCCUGGGGAGUACGGCCGCAAGGUUAAAACUUAAAUGAAUUGACGGGGUCAUAGCUG